AGUAAUUCAGAUGAUUACUAUCUUUCAGUGCUAAAUUCAAGCAUUACAGGUGUUCAGUGGGACUGUUGGUUUUCCCCAGCUUAGAUGGAAACUCCCUGAAAUGCUCUUUGUGCCAUAGUCCAACUUGGUGCUAAGGCAAUUAGAGGUGAGUUGUAUUUGUUGAGACAUGUAUGUUGCAUUUCAGACAGCUGUGUCCCAAAAGGAGUUCAGAAAAAUAAAGUAGGGCCAAAAAAAUCAUACAACAAGGCAGUUAUGUUCAAAUAGGUUUUCUUUACCUCUUUGGGAGCCUCCUUCUCAAUGAAGUCAUUGUAGAUCUUCUUUGCUUUUGAUGUGAGCUUCUGGGGUGACUUGGUUUUCUUGAAGUCCUCGCAGGCCAGCCAGAACUCGAUGUUCUCCUCACAGAACUCAGACUUCAGAAAGGCUCGGAAAGCAGCAAGACCAUCUAGGGAAAGGAGGGGAAAAAAAAUACAUCAACUACACAGUCCUCGCAGUCCUGGUGCUGUGUGUGUGAGAUGGAAACAUCAGCACAGGAGCUGGGCGAGGAACGCCUCUGUGCCUUUUGGGACAGCAUUGGCUGGGCCUCUGCUCGCUCCUUGCCUCGAGGCUGUGCCUUCCCUGAAGCACCCAGGAUGGACACGUGUGUCUGUGUGAAGACCCCAGAGGUGCCUGGAUACAGGUGGAAGCGCAUACUUCUACACUGUGCUUUUGUCAAUAAUGGCAAUCAAUCAUGCAUGGCACGCGUUGGGAAAUGUUGGUUUUCGAGGUGAAACCAUCAAUAACGGCGGUCAGGACAGCAGCUGGGGUGCUGUCCUGCUGGUGGGAGACCUGCUUCAUCCUGCUGGAAGCAGAAGCUGAACGGAGGCCCGCUGAAAUAGCCUAGCUUGUACAGGACAGGACAUUCUCAUAUUCCUUACAUCUUUUGUCAACACAGAAAACAAACAGCUUAGCAAGAAGCAGCGUGUUUUUAACAAUGAAAUUUUCUUUGCAGACACUAUCUGGGUUACACCAUCUCAGCUGAAGAGAUGUGAUUAAUCUUGUUUGAGGUUAACGAGGUGAUGCAAAACACCGGCUCUGUGUUUUGUUCAAACUGCAGUCUAUUUUGUUUCCUCCCCAAAGGCCAUAUUUGUUAAACUGAGUGUGCAGAGGGACAUUAAACAAUCAAAUAUGUUUGUUAAAUCUGGAUGUGGGCACUGUCUUUAUCAUAUUAUUUGUGUGUAACACAGUCAACAUGCAGUCCUUUUGAUGACUAUUUAAUCCAAGUUAAUGAAAGUCUCUGUAAGUGCCUAAAUGGCAUUAGUCAAAUACUGAGCUAGAAAGUCUCUGUGGCUUAUAAAACCAACCCCUUUUACAACUCCUACAGGUGAACACAGUCAGGAGCACAGUGCUGGGCAAGCUGAAGGCUAGAGAGGAGAAAAAUUUGUACCAGCUCAAAUGUUCGCAUUUUUGAAAAUAAGCAUUUCAGCUGAACUGGAGACAAAAAGUCAGUCUUUCCUAUUUCAUGGUGGGGGAAAGUUUAAACAAAACCAUUUCUUGGAAGGACUUGAUUUCAAUGCUGGGUGGAAAUACCAGUGGAUUUAAUUAGCUAUUCUUAAUGAAAAAAAAAAAAAUCAGUUAAAAAAAUAUAAUUUUCUUUAUUUAAGGAUAGGAUUUUCUUUAUAAUAUUCAGUGUUAGAGUAUAGGCUUUUCUGUGAAAAGAAGCAAGGUAAUGAAUGUGUUUCAGAUGCAGUAAAAGCCAUAUGAUAAUCAAGGAGACAGAAAGCACUGCCUGAGCACAUCCACUUACUCAAGUCAGAGGGCACUGCAUCUGAGUAAGGGCUGCCACCUCAUACAGUUCCUAUUCACCGUAUUGACAAAAGUAGUUACAAUUUGUAAAAGUAAGCUCUCUGAAGCUAGGGAAGGCUGGAAGGAAGGUUUCCUGUGCAAUAUUAGUAAUCCCGCUGUAUAUAUCCAGUGGCAUCCUGAUCUACUCCCAGUGUGAAGGGAGAGACAAAUAAAUGAAUGGCCGGGUGAUAUUUGUCUGGGUUCAUCAAGCCCUGGAAAUUCCCUCCUGGCUGGUUAAGGAGUGCACUGAAGAGGUCAGGCUGUGGCCAGGGCUGGACUGGGGGUGCCGACUGUCUCAGAGCUAGCCUGGGAAAGAGGCACAGGCGAGCAGCUCGACAGAUUAGUCACGCACUUAAUGCUAAGCAUUGCAAAAUAAUGUCUCAGUCCCCCAACUGAAGUGCAUUAGUUGUAGGCAGGUACAUUGUUCUCCUGGAACAUUUUUCUCAUCAGUUAUUUGUUCAGCAUUCAGACAGCUCUUCGGAGGACAGCGGAUCCAAGCAGCUUCAGUGCAUGCUGAACAAGUAAAACUCCCCAGAAAUCAGUGGAGCUACAUUCUGCUGUUGUUCCAGCUGUAGACUUGCUCAUGGCAGUUACUGCCACAGCAGACGAGGGUGACAGCUUUCCAACCAAAGCUGUUAUUUGAAGACCGAGACAGCAUUCCUGGCAAGACUGGAACUUAGGGGAUAAGAUGGUUCAGAUCAACUCUUUGGAAUAUACUUUAACAUAUCAGAUAAAUUACAAGAAGAAAAAGAAAGAAGAACAAAAAACAUCUUGAGGAAAUUACUCCCUGCCAUGUCCUAUGCUAAUAUCCACUAAAAACUAAUGUCCAUUAUAUUAAUUAUCACCUGCUUCCUUUGGGUACAAGAUAAGAGGAUAUUUUCCUCCAUUUAUUAUGGAAUUAUUAUAGAAUUAUUUCUCCCUUGCAUGCUGUACCGCAUUUUCUUUAUUUCAGACAAAUGCCAGUGUUGCAAUCGUAUACAGUCAGCGGUUAUGCGAGAUCGAUUGCACAUCUGUGGAGAAGCCUCUGAGAAAUACAGGGCGCUGCAGGGGAAGAGGAGCUGUUAGUUCUAAGAAGAGAUUCCAUUUUAAAAAAUCAUACAAGCCCAGAAGCCAAAUUAGGAGAACAAUUAUACAAGCAGAUUAAGUUACAAACGAAAAAACGGCCACUAAAACCUCCCAGGGCUUUCAGCAUGUAGGCCCGCCUGGGGUGGCUCUUCCAGCAUCGUUCAGUGAAGGGUCCGUUCGAAGAUGCUCAGCUCCAACAGCCGUUGUUUUCUCAUUCUUUCCAUAACUCAUUCAGAAGUAGCCCCAAGUUUAUUCAAGGCACUGUGUUUACUGUGAUGGGAAAGAAGAUUAGGCAGCAAAAACUCACAGACGAUGCCUGAGUUUGAAAGCCCAAACUUCUGUAAGGAGUCUAAAAUUGGACCAACACUGGGACUCAGCAGCAGAGAGGCCCCUCAGCAUUGCUGUUGACUGCUUCUUUCCUGGUUGUGUGAAAGCUGCUCUGACAGCACAGAACUCCCUGCAGUGGUAAACUGCGUGUUGCAGCUCACAAAGGGAUUUAUUUCUGAAUAAAUGUCAGAUCAUCACCUCCAGAUCAAAUGUCAGAUCAUGUCUGUCUUUGGUGUAUCUUUGCUGGACAUCAGCAAAGCACUGGUGGAGUUAGUGGUUUGUGGAUUUUUGCACUUUAUGAUUAACGUCAGCUGAAGGGAGAAUGUGAACAAUGUAAAUAAGCAUGUUGUCCUGGUAUGUGCAAAGCAAAUGAUGUAUAUUUCCAUUUACUCUUGAAUCUGAAAGAGAAAUUCAGAGAUUGGGGGGGGGAAUAGCAGAUGGAACCAGGAUGAACACCCGCAGUCUCCUUGGUGUAUAACGUGCUGGGUAAACCAGUGAAUCAGAUUUGCAAUGCACUUUCCUGAGCAGACAAGGGAGAGUCACUCUCGCCCGCUGCCUUGGCUGUGUGGUCCUCAGUGGCUAAAAUAUUUUAAGUGUCAGCUCUCAGGGGUAAGUUAAAAUGUGUUUGUAAUCAGGGCUGUAACCUCGCAGCUCAUUUUAAAUGUGUUCCAAAGCAUGAAAACAUGAGUGUAGACAUGCAGAAAAUACUGUGUAAACUGAAUACUAACUUGUUUUUUAAUAUGUAACAGCAUUUUCAUUAUUGACAUUAAUUACUGAUGAUAACAUGGUUUGGCACCAAUUUCUCAGUACCAUGCUUGUGUUGCUGCCGCUAAGAAGUAAGAACAUGGUUUCAGUCACUGCUAUGACUUUAUCUAGCUGCUGUUACUAUGGCCUGAAAUAUUAACACUUGAUUUAUUUUUUUUUAAAUAGUUCAAAUUAGAAUAAAUAAAUAAAUAAAUAAAUGCAAGUAGAAUUGGUAUCUAGUUUUCCUGCUUUCCCUUUAUAUACAGAAUGUAUCAUAAUUGUAUGUUUCUUAUAUAAUUCACAGAGAAAGGACAGAUAUUUGGGACUGGGUGCAGAAUCAACACAAGAAAAGCCUUUUGAUACAAGAGGAGAAUAAAUACACGUUGGUAGCCUGUUUCUUCUUCGCUAUGCUUUCUGCUUUCCUUGGGCACAACUGCUCUGUAUGCAUCAUACAGGGUUACUACUUCGAACAUGUUCUUACUAAAUCUUUUGUCUGUCCCAUGUUAUUUUAUUUGUAUUUAUUCAAACUAAAAAACGUGGAACUGAAAUAAAAGUUCAUUUUGUUAUGACCCAAAACAACUAAGACAUUUAUUUUCUUUUUCAGUGUGCAUUUACAUUUAUAACAGCAUUACCAGCCUGCUCAGUCAUCUGAUAGACUUUAUUUCCAGUUACACUGGUAACUGGGAAAUCACCAGCUUUUUAUUUAACUAAAUCCUCAUGGUUUUUUUCUUCCCUUGUGGACACAGGACUAUUUUGGGAAAAAAAAAAAAAA